CAGUCGCCACGGUAAUACGGAGGAUCCAAGCGUUAUCCGGAAUCAUUGGGUUUAAAGGGUCCGUAGGCGGUCUUGUAAGUCAGUGGUGAAAGCCCAUCGCUCAACGGUGGAACGGCCAUUGAUACUGCAGGACUUGAAUUAUUGGGAAGUAACUAGAAUAUGUAGUGUAGCGGUGAAAUGCUUAGAGAUUACAUGGAAUACCAAUUGCGAAGGCAGGUUACUACCAAUUGAUUGACGCUGAUGGACGAAAGCGUGGGUAGCGAACAGGAUUAGAUACCCGAGUAGUCCCUGUCUCUUAUAA
rnacentral:rRNA from 1 species